CACGUAGGGCGCAAGCGUUGUCCGGAAUUAUUGGGCGUAAAGAGCUCGUAGGCGGUCUGUUGCGUCCGCUGUGAAAACUCGGGGCUUAACCCCGAGCCUGCAGUGGAUACGGGCAGACUAGAGGUAGGUAGGGGAGAAUGGAAUUCCCGGUGUAGCGGUGAAAUGCGCAGAUAUCGGGAGGAACACCGGUGGCGAAGGCGGUUCUCUGGGCCUUACCUGACGCUGAGGAGCGAAGGCGUGGGGAGCGAACAGG
rnacentral:rRNA from 1 species